UUUCUUUAAGUCGCUUAUAUAAAGUGUGAAGUUUGUAUACAAAUAAAGAAAAAUAAAUUAAAUCUAACUCCACUCAAAAACUAACUAAAUUUGAGAAAGUUUGCCUAAGUCCCUUUAAGAGGCAAUCUAAAACUUCUAAAUAAACCUUUAGUCCAAAGCAUGCCCAUGGUACUUGCAAAUAGUCUUUUGCAUUUUUCUUUUGGAAAAAUAAUAUAUAUAUGUGAACAAUGCAACUACAUUUAGGUUCCAGUUUUCUCUGAGGCACCAGUGCUUGGUGCAUUCUGGUCUUGCCAUGAUGCCUGCCAUUGCUUGUCAUACAAAGUUGCUUCAUCAGCCAGCUUUCUCAGGUUGUCAAAAUCUUCGGUUCGCCUGAGGAGUAAUAUGCUAAUGACUGUCACAAAAAGUCCUGCUUUGCAUAACAAGUUUCCAGUCUGGCUAACCAUAUCAAGCCCUGUCAAUGCAUCCACAAUACAUGACAUGAAGAAUCCCACCAUUGCAGCUCUACCUGUGGAAUUGACACAAGUGUGAAUUGUGAGAUACAUAUGGUUCUGGAGAUCAAGUUGCAAGAAUAAGAAGUGAAAAAGGUGUUUUCAGUCUUCAAACCAUUGAUUAGCUCUGCCUCCGGCAGAUAUGACCUUUUGAGCCAUGCCCACCAAGGUAUUACAGAGCUCCUAAACAGCACCGGUUCUUCAUUUGUAGAUGCUUCUGUGUAAAAUUCAAGAAAUUUUCUCCUCUUUGCUUCUGCAAGGCCAAUAGAUGGUAUGGUAACAGACUAUGGAAUGGAUUGACUAUUGAAAAUAGCUUUCGUGCUUCACAUACGCUGUUCAAGCAUUUGAAUCAUUCAAACAGAUUAAGAUCGAUAACAAUCUCUUUGUCAUUGAACAAAAAAGUUUAGAAGUUAUGUAUCAUCUCAUCUGAAAUUUAACUUCCUAGACAAGAGAGCCCGUUGCCUUAACUACCCGCAUAAACAAAGAAAAGAGAAAUAUUUUAAUUGAAGCAAAAUUGUCCCUUCUGAAAUCAUGCAUAUACAGAAAAACACUAGUUGCUUGCAGUUGCACAUAUGAUUAGGCCAUAACUUACAUUUUCCAUGAACUACAAGGUAACUCACUCACCUGCUUCAAUCAGACCAUCCCAAUCCAUCUUGCCAUCCUUCACAAACAUGAAUAUCCCAGUUCCCCUUCUUCCAGCGGUCAUCAACAAAUUUUGGAGCAGAUGAUUCUGUUUCUGAGCCAUAAUCUGAUUUAUCACUAGCAUUCUUUGAUUCAUCAGCGUGGAAAGGAGACUUCUCCUGCUGUUCAGCUACUCUUAAACCCUUCUUUUGGUC
rnacentral:misc_RNA from 1 species